CAUAGCGACUAUCGUGGCAUAUCAAUAAGCGGAGGAAAAGAAACUAACAAGGAUUCCCCUAGUAACGGCGAGUGAAGCGGGAAGAGCUCAAAUUUGAAAUCUUAAAGGGUUUCCCUUUACGAAUUGUAGUUUAAAGAAGUGUUUUCUGUUGGAGUUUCGGUAAAAGUUCUUUGGAAGUAGGACAUCAUAGAGGGUGAGAAUCCCGUAUUUGACCGUUACUUUCCAGCUGUGUGAUACACUUUCAAAGAGUCGGAUUGUUUGGGAAUGCAGUCCAAAAUGGGUGGUAAAUUUCAUCUAAAGCUAAAUAUUGGCGAGAGACCGAUAGCGAACAAGUACCGUGAGGGAAAGAUGAAAAGAACUUUGAAAAGAGAGUUAAACAGUACGUGAAAUUGUCAAAAGGGAAGCGUUUGACACCAGUGUUGUUUAGUUGAAAAUCAAUUCAAUAGUUUUUGAUUUUAAGUAGUAUUGACUUCAUCAGCUUACUGCUUUCUUUUCAGAAAUUAUUGAAUGCACUUUUCAGUUAACAAGUCAACAUCAAUUUCUUUUGUUGUAAAAGGGUAAGAGGAAGGUGGCUUACGCUUCGGCGUAAGUGUUUAUAGCCUUUUACCUCUGCAAUCGGAGAGAUUGAGGACAGCAGCGUAGACUCCUUCGGGAGUUAGAUACACUUGUGCUAAGCUAUAGCCUUGUAUAGACAACUUGUUGACUAUGCUCAGUCAUGUAGCUUACUCGCUUGUGCUAUUUUACCUACGCUUAGGAUGUUGACGCGCGUGUGUGCGUG
rnacentral:rRNA from 1 species